CGCACAUUGCGCCCAUGAGUAUUCUCCUGGGCAUGCCUGUUCGAGCGUCAUUUCGACACUUAAGCCUAGCUUAGUGUUGGGAAUCUACUGUAGGUGUUUAGCCUUGUAGUUCCUGAAAAUCAACGGCGGACUUGCAGUAUCCUCUGAGCGUAGUAAUUGUUCUCUCGCUUUUGUCAGGUGCUAUAAAUCUAGCCGCUAAACCCCUAAUAUCUUUAAAGGUUGACCUCGGAUCAGGUAGGAAUACCCGCUGAACUUAA
rnacentral:misc_RNA from 1 species